GACAGUUGUUUGUUAAAACUUUUAUAAAACGUUUUCGUUCUUCUGUUUUGUUUGUGUUUUUGAAGAAGACAGAAAAGGAAGUGAUUGGGUCAGGUGUUCCACGGUGUUAUGCUCCUAGAAAAUGUGUUCGUCACUGCGUUUCACCAGUUCAGUGUAGUUUGUUUAUUUUUGUCACCGUGGCAACCUAGGACCAGUGUAUGCUGGGAAACGAAAAGAAAACUGCCAUGCGGUGAUCUGCUACAGUCAUGUGUGAGCUCUCCCAGCUUCUGAGUUGAUUGCUCUUUAUUCUCCCUCUUUGCUUAGGCAACGUCUUUUCACAAGAUUCCCAGUAACCUUUAUGGAAGUGAAUCACCUGUGUCCUGGAGUUUCUUGGGAGUGUUUAAACUGAAUGGAAAUGUAGCCCAUGACACACAGACCAAUGAGCCUAUCAUCAACAAGGAACCACGUGCAAGGAGCCUGCCGCUACAAUAAAUGCAAGCAUCAUCUGACAUCUGUCAUCAUCACUGUCCUCUCACUCAAAAGGAACCAAGCAGAAGCUUUGCAUAAUGGUGGUGCAAGUCAAUAAUAUGUAGUAGAACCAGAAAUGGUUCAUCUGGUGCUGCAGCCCUGGAAGGAAAAGGCAACUUCCCAGCACUGAUCCCAAUUGCUGCAAAAGCAAGUCCAUUGGGGAAUAUACAUCUCCGCUUACCUCAAAGUCCUUGUAUCUUAAGUUUUGCGACUUAGCUGCUUGACGUCAUAGACGUGGAGCUUACCUACAUUGCAGAGACGGUGUUGCCCAGCGUCACAGAGAUGCUCAACAAUCUGGAGAUUCAGCUGGUUGGUCAGAACAGCCACCAGGGGCAAUUCGGGGUUCAGUAUCUUGCCCAAGGACACUUCGACACGCAACUAGGGGGAGCCAGGGAUUGAACCACUGACCUUCCGAUGGAAGGACCCUCUACCUCCGCAGCAGCUCCUACUAACCCAGCUGCAGCCACAAGGAAGAGGUGCCGAUUCUGCACUGGCAAGAGCGAUCUCAAAACCUGCAUCAGGUGCCAAAAUUGCAUGGCAAACAUUUGCAAAAAACAUUACCACCACACACUGCCUAUCAUGCAAAUGAUAGCACAUUCACACAGAGACACACACCUGCACUUACACAUGUAAGUAAUAAGCAUGUAUAUUACACAAAAUUAAAGUUUUAAGUUUUAGAAAUAAAUGUUGCCUGUUCUAUGUAAAUGAAUUUAUUUAUCUCUUUGUUUACUCUGUUAAUUUGUGAAUAAAAUUCCAUCAAAUGUUGACCUAGGAAUAUAUAUCAGUCUGU